rnacentral:lncRNA from 1 species
CCUGUUUGUCUCUGCCUGUCUGACAUUGAGUGCCUGGAGCCCUCCCUAGCUCUCCAGCUGGAACCUUCCUCUGUAGGAAGGCUGAGGCUAGCAGGGAGAAGCCAGGAUGGAUUUUAAAGAGCCUUGUUGUCUCUAAGGAAGAGUGGAGCUUACAUCUUUGGGUUUGCAGAAAUGCCCACAUUCAACUCAGGGGGAAUAAAAGGAUGGGAGUUAGAAUUUCAACUUGCAGUUGCAGAAUCUCAGAGUUAAAAGAAACCUCAGAGGUCAUCUCUUCCAACCCUUCUCCAGAGCAGCUUUAAUUGCCUGUGUGGGAGAUUCAGGGCCAGCAGCUGCAGCUUCCCUUUCCCUGCCUCUGACUUGCCAGAAUCCUGUUACACCUGGGAUUUAGGCACUUUCAAUCUGAAAAAAUACAUAUCCUUUCAGCACUCUGGACGGACUUGAGAACUGUCCUUACGUGACCUAAAGCUGGAGUAUUUUGAGAUUGGAGAAUUAAGGCUACAGAGAAACAAGGAGACGGGAGAGCCUUGAAAUGGACCUUCAAGAUUACAAUGUGUAGCUGACAUUGUCAGUUAAGUUGGGCAGAUCUGACUUCGCUGAUUAAGUGGAUGUAUGAGCCGAUCCUCCCCAGAAGCUGGGAUCAGCUUCCCCAUCUGAUGAGCCAGUCUUGGUGCUCUGUGUUCACCUGGUUCAUCUGAGGAGCUGCAUCUACCCUGCCCAUGCCAUAGAUCCUGCCCUGUUUGCUUCUCCUGUUGCUGCUAGUGGACAUGAGGUAACCACAGCCUAGUUCUGUGAUAAGCUCUUCACACCUGUACCCAUAUGGACUGUGGGAGAGUUUCUCUGAUAUGGACUGUGAUGCGGAAGGACAGAAUAACGGGCUCCCAGAUUCACAAGCCCCACCAAGAGGAUCACCCCAGGAACGCUUGGAGGCUGAGGAGUUCACUGAGGCUACUGCAUCUUGAGACUCAGGAUGAAGACCCAGCUUGGGGCUGUCAAAGGUUUUUUGCAUGUCUGACACCCAUGACUCCACCUGGACCUUAUGGCUCCACCCAGAAGCAAUUCAGCCCAACAGGAGGACAGCUUCAACCCAUUACGAUUUCAUCUCUGCCCCAACCACUCAGCAGCAAGCACCUGUUACCUGUCCACCCCCACCCCUUCCCCCAAACUGCCUUUGAAAAAUCCCUAACCUAUGAGCUUUGAAUAAGAUGAGUACGAACUUCAUCGCCCACGUGGCGUGGCCGGCCUCGUGUCUAUUAAAUUCUUUUUCUACUACAA